AUCAGUGAUGACUAAGGCCUUCCCUAGAACAUGGGGUAUAUUACCCGCUGCCCACAGUGUGAUUCGCAAUAAAGCCAGCCCAGGCCAGGGAGCAGUCUUGACAAUUCAGGAACAGCCCCCCUCCGCCCGCAUCCAUCCCAGCCAAGGUUUUCACCUACAGUCAUUACUUGAAUGUGUUUUAUUGUUUUGUUUUUAGUACUGAGUUUAAGGGAAAUGUCAUCUCUUGGUGCACCUGCCCUGCUUGGGGGGUGCCCAGGUCCCCGGGUGCUGGGCUCCUGGGGAAGUCCGCUCCCAACGGGCUGUCAUUCAUGACUGCGGGGACCCUGACCGGCAUCACUUUGCCCCCUCACCCGCCCCACUCCGUGCUCCCUGUCCAGCUGAGGGAGUCGGGAGUCCUCCCAGGCUGGGAGAGGGUGGGGCGGCGCCAGAGCCGGGAUUUCCCUCCACCCGCACAUCCGGGGUUGAGAUCCCUGGCCUGGUGCCCAUCACAGCCCCUGGACCUCUGGGCCAGCAGAGGCCUCCAGGGACCCCCCGCCCAUAACGCCUGGGGCUCUCCAGCCAGGCUGCCCUUGCUCUCCACCCCCAACUGGCAGCUCCUGCUGGGAAGUUGCUCCCGGAAACUCCCUUCUGGCUGGAACCACCCAAGGAGCCCCAGUCCCGGCCCCCCUCCCACAGGGCAGGCCCGAGGGGGCGCCGCUUCCGGCCGCUGCUGCAGGGCAGGGGGCAGCAGCAUCCACGGCCAGAACACUGCCCACGUUUACUGAGUGCUUAGCACGCACGAGCCAGCAUACACACCAUCUAAUCCAACGGUCACAUGAGCACUGCAAGGGAGCUACCACGACCCUGGGCAUUUUACAGACGAGGAAAGUGACGUCCAGAGACGUUAGUGCGUGACUAAGGCCCCACAGCCGGGAAGUGACGGAGUCAGCGCUUGGAACCAGUUUGCUGGGCACCAGGUCCACACUCUGGAUGACUUGCUGUUCACAGGCAUUGAUGCUGAUUCAUUUCCUGCUCUUUUGGUGAGUUAAUCCCAGUCCCUUCCACCUUCACUUUAUAGGUCAAGUGGUUUUGUUGCUCUUGGCCCCCUCUCCGGCUUCUCCACCUUUGUGCUCACAUGGCACCCUGAAUUGGGCACAGUGUUGUGAAAAGGCUACACAGAUCAACUUACCCCACGUGGCCAAUUUUCCUGCCACAGUGACACUGUGUGUUCUCCUCCUGAACUAGGUGGGAACCAGCUGGGUCAUCCAGGCAGCCUCCACCCUUGAGAGGAAUGAAUUCCUCUCCAUCCCAGCCAGCAACACAGAAAGCUCUGGAAAGAAGACUGGAGGUUGGUGUCCUGACAUUACUCAGCCCUUGUCAUCUGUGGCUGAGUAAGGCCCACUGAGCCUCCGAGCUGGGGAUUCUGUGCAUGGUGUGGUCUCCACACCCAGCCAGGAG
rnacentral:lncRNA from 1 species